CGCGGCUCUGUCAUCUCCCCCACUGAACUUGAGGCCCCCAUCCUGGUGCCUCACACAGCGCAGCGCGGAGAGCAGAGGUAUCCAUUUGAGGCCCUCUUCCGCAGCCAGCACUACGCCCUCCUAGACAAUUCCUGCCGCGAAUACCUUUUCAUCUGUGAAUUUUUUGUUGUGUCUGGCCCAGCUGCACACGACCUGUUCCAUGCUGUCAUGGGCCGUACACUCAGCAUGACCCUGAAACACCUGGAUUCUUAUCUAGCUGACUGCUACGAUGCCAUUGCUGUUUUUCUCUGUAUCCACAUUGUUCUCCGGUUCCGUAACAUUGCAGCAAAGAGGGAUGUUCCUGCCCUGGACAGGUCACUGAAUUCUGGUCCUUGAUGCCCAACAGGCCACGAACUCUCUUGGUCUUGCAUGACUCUGCCCUGACCUUAGACUCCUACUGACCUGGUAUCAUCAACCUUUAUUCCCAUUCAUUUGCUCCGGAGGCAGUAGUGCUGCUUUUUGACUCACCUUUCUCCAACCACUGCCCCCCAACCCCCACAACUAGCUAUUGACCAUUAAACUGAAUGAUGCCCCACUCCCUCCCAUCCCCCUCCAACAUUCCUUGCUGGCUGACCUCUGAUUCUGAUUAAGCCCACAGGUACUGGGAACAGGUGCUUGCCUUGCUAUGGCCACGGUUUGAACUGAUCCUGGAGAUGAAUGUUCAGAGCGUCCGAAGCACUGACCCCCAGCGCCUAGGGGGGUUGGAUACUCGGCCCCACUAUAUCACACGCCGCUAUGCAGAGUUCU
rnacentral:misc_RNA from 1 species